rnacentral:sRNA from 12 species
UUGCGCCUGCUUUGGACGCAGCGCGGCCCUUUCUGGUGCCUUGCAGGCGGCCGGACCGCGUACCCGUCCCGUGAACAGCAAUUUUGCUGAUUCAAAUCCUUUCC